rnacentral:rRNA from 1 species
GACGAACGCUGGCGGCGUGCUUAACACAUGCAAGUCGAACGGAAAGGCCCUGCUUUUGUGGGGUGCUCGAGUGGCGAACGGGUGAGUAACACGUGAGUAACCUGCCCUUGACUUUGGGAUAACUUCAGGAAACUGGGGCUAAUACCGGAUAGGAGCUCCUGCUGCAUGGUGGGGGUUGGAAAGUUUCGGCGGUUGGGGAUGGACUCGCGGCUUAUCAGCUUGUUGGUGGGGUAGUGGCUUACCAAGGCUUUGACGGGUAGCCGGCCUGAGAGGGUGACCGGCGACAUUGGGACUAAGGUACGGCCCAGACUCCUACGGGAGGCAGCAGUGGAGAAUAUUGCACAGUGGGCGGGAGCCUGAUGCAACAACGCCCGGUGCGGGAAGACGGCCUUCGGGUUGUAAACCGCUUUCGCCUGUGACGAAGCGUGUGUGACGGUAAUGGGUAAAGAAGCACCGGCUAACUACGUG